rnacentral:rRNA from 1 species
GACGAACGCUGGCGGCGUGCCUAAUACAUGCAAGUCGAACGAGAGCGACCGGUGCUUGCACUGGUCAAUCUAGUGGCGAACGGGUGAGUAACACGUGGGUAACCUGCCCAUCAGAGGGGGAUAACAUUCGGAAACGGAUGCUAAAACCGCAUAGGUCCUUUAACCGCAUGGUUGAAGGAGGAAAAGAGGCGCAAGCUUCUGCUGAUGGAUGGACUCGCGGUGCAUUAGCUAGUUGGUGAGGUAACGGCUCACCAAGGCCGUGAUGCAUAGCCGACCUGAGAGGGUGAUCGGCCACAUUGGGACUGAGACACGGCCCAAACUCCUACGGGAGGCAGCAGUAGGGAAUCUUCCGCAAUGGACGCAAGUCUGACGGAGCAACGCCGCGUGAGUGAAGAAGGUUUUCGGAUCGUAAAACUCUGUUGUUAGAGAAGAACAAGUGCUAGAGUAACUGUUAGCGCCUUGACGGUAUCUAACCAGAAAGCCACGGCUAACUACGUGCCAGCAGCCGCGGUAAUACGUAGGUGGCAAGCGUUGUCCGGAUUUAUUGGGCGUAAAGCGAGCGCAGGCGGUUCCUUAAGUCUGAUGUGAAAGCCCCCGGCUCAACCGGGGAGGGUCAUUGGAAACUGGGGAACUUGAGUGCAGAAGAGGAGAGUGGAAUUCCAUGUGUAGCGGUGAAAUGCGUAGAUAUAUGGAGGAACACCAGUGGCGAAGGCGACUCUCUGGUCUGUAACUGACGCUGAGGCUCGAAAGCGUGGGUAGCAAACAGG